AAAGAACAGCUAUGGGACCUUCAACCAUUCCUUCAGCUGUACAUCCUUGGAAGGAAAAACCAGAAAGGGUUGGACCUGACUCUGCUCUUAACCACUGCUGCUCCCCUGCAGUCAACAGUCACAAAUCCUGCCCUGUAUCUGCACAACCCUUCAGGCACGGAUUGCAGCCUGAAGCUCCCUCUGACACGCUCUGAUCAGUCUGGCUGCAGUCCAGCAGGAAAAGCCAAGGGAUUUUGUUGUGAGAACUUUAGGUCAGCUUUCCCAAGUCCAUGGGAAAGGGCUGUCCCCUUGGGGCCAACGACGAGAGGCAUUCAGAUCUGCUCUCCCAGCAAGAGAUGGGGAGAGUUCAUUACAUAGCCUCAGCCUUUGCUUCCUUAAUGAUCCCAAACACAGUGGAACAGCUAUGGUCUCCCCUUGGCUUGCCCAGAUGCUCAGUCCACAUACACUACUAAGUGCUAGAAUGAGAAUUUGGCUUACAAGCAGGCAGCAUUCAGACCUGGGCCAGGAGGUACCAGAUGCAUAGAGUUCUAAAGCAAAUGCCAGCUUUCUGUCCAAAAAUGGUUCUGGUUCACAAAAUUAGGAACAGUUUCCAGUGAAUCUGAAGCAGAUGGAUGGGUUCACAGUAAAUUUAUGUCUUUGAGCCAUUUCAAGCAGUGGCACUUUAGGUUUUUUCUCCUUCCAGCUGCAUGUGGAGGCUGUGGUUGAGCUUUGUUGUGCCAGGUGCCAUCAAACAAACAUGAAGAAUCAGCUCCUGCUUGGAUGUCUGUGCUUCUAAGCUGAGAGUUCCAACCCUGAGAGGGCUCAGAUUCACAGGCAGCUCUGAGGGCAAAGUCCACAUCUCACACCACCCCAUGUCCAGCCUUUGUGUGUUGCUGCCUCUCCCAACCUCCUAAGGACCAACCAAAUCCGUCAGCCUUCAAACACAGGCACGCAGCUGAAGGAACUGGAAACCUUGUUGGACCACAUAUCAAUUUUGGCUGUCACGUCAACACAAAUCUCCUCCAAAACCUAAAUGCCCAGCACCUUGACACCUGCAGAUGUGACCCUGCUCAUUGAACCAUGCAAAAGAAAACAUCUCUGGGUUUGGCUCUUGCUCAACUUAACCAAAUUUGUAUGGUGGGGACCCCAAUUUGCUUACAUCUGGUGACAAAGUGUGUGAGCAUCAGCUGUGGAGAGUGAACCUCAGAGCAUCCUUCAGCAUUGCAAAGCAGUCAUCUAAUAAGGAUUUUGAGUAGCAAAGUUACCACGUCUGUGUCUGUUAUUAACAUUUAGAAGGUAAUCUGCCUACCACCAUAAAUGCUAACUACUCUGGCAUGCCCUUGACAGGUAUAAUUGUCUGUAGUCCUGUAAAAAGUAAUAGCCAUCUGGCAGAAAGCACUGAUGCUGUGAGAAGAAAUAGAAGAUGGGUGCCAGCAAGAGACCAAAGCAAAUCUCCCAGCACAGGUUACCUUGGGGCUGUGUGAUUGCCUGGCAAUCUGCUCGUGUCCCCCCUUUUCAGCUGCUUUCAAAGUCAUGGGAGGAACGUCUUUCAGUUUUAGCCUUGCAGCCAGCACAAGCCCUAUCUGAAUUUAUUACAGACAAGGAAGCAGAAAUAUUUCUGCUUCGCUGAAACUGACAAACAUGAAAAAAGAGCUAGCCUGGUGGAGAUCAAACUCAUGGGCUUCACGAGAAACCUUGCUCAGUUUCUGCAGAAAGUGUAUUGCCCUGUUAAUAAUACACUGUAUAUCAUCUGGCGUUUGCAAGGAAUGACCUGCCUGCUCCUCAGCAUCUCUGGCUCUCUUCAUUAUUAUAGCCCUUGUAAAAAAUGUCACAUUAAGUGCAAAGACCAACAGACCUGGAAAUAGACCAACAGUUCUGUUAUUCACAGAGCACUGUGGGCAGCCAGAUGCAGGCUUCUCCUGGGGCACCCCAGCACCAACCUCGAUACAGAAGAGCUUUCCUUGGGGCAAGAAUAGGACCUAGUUCAUAUCGCUGAUUACUCAUCCUUGUUGAUGAAUCUGCUGAAAAAUCUCACGACAAGGGCAGGUGAUGGUAAAGCAGGGGCAUUUUCCAGCAGGUGCCAUGCUGAGAUUUACAGUGCAGUGGGUGCUGAUCAGUCAACAGCUGGCAGCAACCUGCAGCAAUGGGCUCAGUGCUGCCUGCAUCCAUCAGCCCUGCUGCUACCUGCAUGGGGAGGAUGGAAGAUAUGGAAGGAGGGGAUUCCCCAGCAAAUGCCAUUCCCAGGCUCUGACAGAAAGCAGGAGCAACCAUUCCACGUCCAAACUCUGUGACCCAAGAUAACCAAACAAGUUCAAACCAGCUUCCAAAAGCCAUUCACCCUUAUGACCGCUUUCUCUGAACUUCACGGAGGUUAUGACCAGAUUGUCACUGUAGCAGAGGAGGGAAAUCCAUCUCCGGAGUGUGGGAAAGGAAAUCUGAACUUUUGUGUAAACGAAGAUCUGCACCCAAGGCUGGGCUGACCCGUGGGCUGGCUUUUCCCUUUGCAGCUUUAAAGAAGUGCUGAGUUCAUAUGCACCAUUAACGGUACACCAGCAUCACUUUGGGUCCAGGUACAUUUCCAAGGAUAGGACUCACUCUCACAAAUCUCCCCGUGGUGUUUUAAUACUCUCCAGGAAAUAAAGGAGCACAGUCCCUGUUGCAGCGAAGCCUCCUGAGGAUGGCUUGACCCCAGUUAACGAUAACAACGACCACCAGGACAAUGCAGAAGAAUUUAGGGAGGAAAAGGGCAAGUUUCACUCCUGCUGCUCAGAAAAGCUGAUCUUGUCUGUAACCUCUGGAUGAGUGUACACGAGCUGCAGAUCCAAGCCAUCCGCUGCCAGACAGCUGCAUUUAUGCAGAAAAGCAGCUCACAGACUUCAGACAAAGCCACCCCAAAGGAACAACACUGCACCCCACUGCCUGCCCAUGGUGGAUGAGAAACCCCACAUCUUACACAACUAUUGCUAUUCAAUGGAUAGCAGCUCACUGGCAGCAACUGGUGAUCAGCCUGUCAACGCCAUCUGAUUUAACUUUCCAUUUUUCAGUCCAUAGACCAGCUGCUCAGACCUAAGGUUGUCCCAUGGAGCAGCAAAACAGCACAAACCCUUCACUGCCUGCAGCUGAAGGAGGCAAUACUGCUGAUCCUAAAACUCUCAUAGGAGGAUUUUCUCCAAAUGGUUCAUAUUCAGCCCUUUCCUUGCCCUGAACUGCUUUCCCUGACCCCAUUUAAUAGUUUUCAGGACACUGACACUUGCUUUUCUGAUUUUAUCUCAUCCUUCUCCUGCUUUGCAUAAAUCAGGAGCAUUGGCAUUAAAGUCUAUUCUUUCCCCAAGUGCUAAAAUGUGAGUAAAACUGCUACAAGCACUGAGAUUUACUCCAAGCUCUGGCUUUGUU
ensembl:lncRNA